rnacentral:rRNA from 1 species
AUUGAACGCUGGCGGCAGGCCUAACACAUGCAAGUCGAACGAGUGGCGGACGGGUGAGUAAUGUCUGGGAACCUGCCCGUUGGCGGGGGAUAACUACUGGAAACGGUAGCUAAUACCGCGUACCAUCGGCUGUGCCCAGAUGGGAUUAGCUUGUAGGUGAGGUAAAGGCGCACCUAGGCGACGAUCCCUAGCUGGUCUGAGAGGAUGACCAGCAACACUGGAACUGAGACACGGUCCAGACUCCUACGGGAGGCAGCAGUGGGGAAUAUUGGACAAUGGGCGCAAGCCUGAUGCAGCCAUGCCGCGUGUAUGAAGAAGGCCUUCGGGUUGUAAAGUACUGUCAGCGGGGAGGCGUUACCCGCAGAAGAAGCACCGGCUAACUCCGUGCCAGCAGCCGCGGUAAUUC